rnacentral:rRNA from 1 species
UACAGAGGUCCCGAGCGUUGUUCGGAUUCACUGGGCGUAAAGGGUGCGUAGGUGGCGAGGAAAGUCGGAUGUGAAAGCUCGGAGCUCAACUCCGGAAUGGCAUUGGAAACUACCUUGCUCGAGGGAUGGAGGGGGGACUGGAAUUCUCGGUGUAGCAGUGGAAAUGCGUAGAUAUCGAGAGGAACACCAGUGGCGAAGGCGAGUCCCUGGACAAUCUCCUGACACUGAGGCACGAAAGCUAGGGGAGCAAACAGG